rnacentral:tRNA from 1 species
GGACAGAUGGCCGAGCUGGUUAUGGCGCCAGGUUAAGGUAUCUUAAAAAUAAUUCCUGGUCACGAAAGUGGCGUGGGUUCGAGUCCCACUCUGUUCA